UCAUGAAUAAACAAUUAUUUACACCAUCAUCAUUAAUCUUUUUUAUUUUAAGUGUAUAAAUCGUGUUAGUUAAGAAUAUGCAUAAGCUAAAAAUAUUUGUUUGUUUGUUUAAAAAUGCAUUAUUAAUAAAUGCCUUUCGCCAAGAUAAUAACAUUAAGUUUAAUAUAUGUUUACAUAUUUAUACUAAUUGUUAAAUUAACUGAUGUAAAUUUCAACAAACCCUUUCACUGUAAAAUGUAGGCAAUACUAAAUUUAUAUGUGUUAUUGUUAUGCUAUUUCUGUGAGUGAAAGAUAUGCUUUUCUUUUUUGAGACUUAACAUUUUUGGACUGGUGGGCAUAUAAUAAUAUGAAGCAAUAUCAAAGCCACAAUAUGAUGAUUUUCAUUAGCAUACUGUCCUAUACUAAAACAGCUUACAUCCCAUUUCUGACUUUGGCCUGUAAGCAACCCUCUUGCAGCACCCUAGCAACCAACCCAUACCCUAGCAACUGCAUGAAAAUCAUUCAGAACACAAAAACAGCGAUGCCCUGACAACCCAACCUCUCCCGAACAUCUCAGCACUGUGGCAGCGAGUUUUGCACAGGGUUGUCGUAAAACGUCACCACGGCGGUUUCCAAACGUGUGUGCUCGGUCCAGGCCGCUCCGGCAUUACCUCAUGUCUGGAUUUCAUUCGUGCUGUAAAGGACACACACUCCCUAUUGAUUGAUGCGCUGGUGGAGGCCUCGGGGCUGCGCUGGAAUUAGUUUUAUUUUACCUCCAAAAGCCUCCAAGUUGUUAUGAUGAAGUGUUGUGUUAGUCGGUGACUCUGAGCUCUGACCUCUUCAGGUGGUGGACUGAAAGAGGAGCUUGUCUUCUGCAGGAACCGGCUGCUGUUUUCAUUGCAGUUAGGCAAUCUGUUUAUGUUAGCUGUCUGAGAGGGUAACACGAAGAUGAUGGGCAGCCCAGCGGCGUGUGUUUGUUUUUGGUAGGGAUCUGCAUGUAGAAGUUGCAUCCCAAAGCUCAAAUCCUCUUUUAUUUUAUGAUUCAUGCCAUUUUCUCGUUGAUCCACGCCGACCCCAAGCAGAAUGAUUCUGUGCACGAGUGGAAUGAAGGUGGAAGGAAUACCGACCGGACGGUCCGUUUCAGACGGUUAUACGUGUGUUGGCAGCGGGGUCCCAUCUCACUGUCUGCUUUGAGAAACGCAUUCUGUCUGAUAUAUGGCACCGUGUCAUCAAAUCACAAAUCUUGUCAGUCACUGGCGACAACAUGCAGCAGAGAGUACAUGUAAUGACAGAUGCGUGGCAUUCAACAGAACUUUCUAUGAAUGUGGUUCGCAACUGGUUUGUCUUGUGGGCCCAGAUUUUAUACUGGACAUCAUAUUAUAGGCCGACUAUACACACUUAUUAAAUCAAGGUGCUAAAAAGGUUUGCAGCAAUGCCUUAGAAGAACCAUUUUUGGUUCCUCAAAGAACCAGUCAAAGCUUUUUAGAGGAAACAUUUCUUAAUACCUUCUAAUAAAGUACCUUUAUUCACUACAAAGGAGAAACGUUCUUCAAAGGUUCUACCAUUUAGCCAAAAAACUGUGCGUUCACACCAGACGCGAAUUUUGCAAAUAAAUCUCUUUACUCGCAUUUUGAGUUAACUUGCUUUAUUUGUGCGCAAAAUUCGCAUCAUGCGCGUGUGAAAUUUGUG